GGAGCUAUAGCUCAGUGGCAGAGCACUUGCCUAGCACAUAUGAGGCACUAGGUUUGAUCCUUAGCUCUG
rnacentral:tRNA from 1 species